rnacentral:rRNA from 1 species
CCUACGGGAGGCAGCAGUGAGGAAUAUUGGUCAAUGGACGAGAGUCUGAACCAGCCAAGUAGCGUGAAGGAUGACUGCCCUAUGGGUUGUAAACUUCUUUUAUAGGGGAAUAAAAUGUUACACGUGUGGGCUUUUGUAUGUACCAUAUGAAUAAGGAUCGGCUAACUCCGUGCCAGCAGCCGCGGUAAUACGGAGGAUCCGAGCGUUAUCCGGAUUUAUUGGGUUUAAAGGGAGCGUAGGUGGGUUGUUAAGUCAGUUGUGAAAGUUUGCGGCUCAACCGUAAAAUUGCAUUUGAAACUGGCAGUCUUGAGUACAGUAGAGGUGGGCGGAAUUCGUGGUGUAGCGGUGAAAUGCUUAGAUAUCACGAAGAACUCCGAUUGCGAAGGCAGCUCACUGGACUGCAACUGACACUGAGGCUCGAAAGUGUGGGUAUCAAACAGGAUUAGAUACCCCAGUAGUC